UAACUCCGUGCCAGCAGCCGCGGUAAUACGGAGGAUGCGAGCGUUAUCCGGAUUUAUUGGGUUUAAAGGGUGCGUAGGCGGCCUGUUAAGUCAGCGGUGAAAUCUAGGAGCUUAACUCCUAAAUUGCCAUUGAUACUGGCGGGCUUGAGUGUAGAUGAGGUAGGCGGAAUGCGUGGUGUAGCGGUGGAAUGCAUAGAUAUCACGCAGAACUCCGAUUGCGAAGGCAGCUUACUAAGGUACAACUGACGCUGAAGCACGAAAGCGUGGGUAUCAAACAGGAUUAGAUACCCUGGUAGUCCACGCAGUAAACGAUGAUAACUGGGCGUAUGCGAUAUACAGUAUGCUCCUAAGCGAAAGCGUUAAGUUAUCCACCUGGGGAGUACGCCGGCAACGGUGAAACUCAAAGGAAUUGACGGGGGCCCGCACAAGCGGAGGAACAUGUGGUUUAAUUCGAUGAUACGCGAGGAACCUUACCCGGGCUUGAAUUGCAGACGAACGCGGCAGAGAUGCCAAGGCCCUUCGGGGCGUCUGUGAAGGUGCUGCAUGGUUGUCGUCAGCUCGUGCCGUGAGGUGUCGGCUUAAGUGCCAUAACGAGCGCAACCCCUGUCUACGGUUGCCAUCAGGUAAUGCUGGGAACUCCGUAGAGACUGCCGUCGUAAGGCGAGAGGAAGGUGGGGAUGACGUCAAAUCAGCACGGCCCUUACAUCCGGGGCGACACACGUGUUACAAUGGCAGGGACAAAGGGAAGCGACAUGGUGACAUGAAGCGGAUCUCCAAACCCUGUCCCAGUUCGGAUCGGAGUCUGCAACUCGACUCCGUGAAGCUGGAUUCGCUAGUAAUCGCGCAUCAGCCAUGGCGCGGUGAAUACGUUCCCGGGCCUUGUACACACCGCCCGUCAAGCCAUGGAAGUUGGGAGUACCUGAAGAGCGUAACCGCAAGGGGCGCUUAAGGGUAAUACCAGUGACUGGGGCUAAGUCGUAACAAGGUAGCCGUACCGGAAGGUGCGGCUG
rnacentral:rRNA from 1 species